GGAGGAGGCAUCCAAAGGGAUCGCAUUGAUCCUAAAUCUCAGAUUUCAAAAAUUUUCUCUCUCAAUUUUGGGAUCAUGCUAUCCCUUUGGAUUCCUCCUU
rfam:Cajanus cajan Scaffold132713_32, whole genome shotgun sequence.